rnacentral:lncRNA from 1 species
UUUAAAAUUUCAUUGCAUAAUUUAUUCUACUUUUUUAUUCACGUCAAUUAUGCGAAUCAGAAUAUUUACAAAGUAAAUUGAUAUUGAUUUUAAAACAAAAUUGUUAAAAUAAUUAUUAUUUAUUAUGGAAUCAUUCUUGGUUGUCAUGGGUGGCUCUGAAAACCUAAGUCGUUGGGAAGGACCAUCCUAGGCUAAAUUACGUGCAAAAAUUGGGCUUUUCUUUCUCCACUUUUAACAAAUAUUAACUGAUCUGCUACGGUUGGUGGAUAUUGUUAAAUUUUCCUCUUGAAAGUGGUUUUUAUGAAAACAUUGUGGUCACCCUUGUUCCUUCUAUAAUUGGGAUCAUGAACACAUUCUAUGUUGACACCGUUAGUGACUUAUGGUAGAUUUGUCUUGGAUUGGUUGACUGAUGGGUUAUGUUCCUAGUCUUGCUCUUGUUCGGUUGUGGUUAGGGCUGGAAAUGUAUCGAAUCGUGUCGAACUUGUCUGAGCUCGACUCAACUCUUUAAGAAAUAGUUCGGCUCGAAACUCGACUCGAAUUCGAUAUGAACUAUUUUUUGGCUUAAGUUCGACUCAUUAAAAGUUCAUGAACAACUCAGUUCGACUCGUUAGGUUCGGUUAGUUAGCUUGAAACUCAUAAUUCAAAUUAUUUUCUUUUGUUGUAAAAAAAGAGAUAUUUUUUUAGAUCUUUUCACCAUUUAAUUUAAUUAUUUUUAAAAGGCAAAUAUUAGAUAUACAAAUCUAUAGAAUUCCCAAAAACCCCUUCCAAACCACAAAUUGGUUCAAGAAACCGAGUGCUCACGUAAUAGUGGUAACUUAAAAAAAAUUAAACUACUUUGUUCAAGUGAAAAAUGGAAUGUGUAUGUCACUUUAAUGACAGUGAAAACACAUCGUAGAAGGAUGCAACACAAGAGCUUAUUUUACUUUGACCUUUGUUAGCUUACAAGACCUUCGAUGUGGGACUUGUUUUGUGCUAACUCUCUAUGUUGCCCCUUGAAAUUUGCCACAUGUUGCAAAUAUAUAUUUGUAAUCGAGUCGAUUCAUGAACUAAAUGAGCUUAACUUUCAAAUGAGUUAAAUUAUAUAUAGUUGAAGCUCAUUCAUUUAUUUAACGAAUUUAAUUUUCAGCUCAAACUCAACUUAUUUGGUUCAUGAACCAAGUUCGACGAACUAAAAGUCGAGUCGAACUCUAAACUUUAGCCUGUGGUUGAGGGUUCUUGAUAGGAGUUUAGUUGGUUUUCCGUUGGUGUUUUAGUUCUUACUUUUGUUUUUCUGUGGGUGGGAUUCUAUGUUUUUUAUUAUUGCUUGACUUUAGUACUUCUUGUACAUUAAUUUCUAUGUGGUUGUACUCUUGCAUGAGAUUUCACCUUUUUAUUUAUAAUAUAUGUAUUUUACAUUAAAAAAAUGUAGUUUUUUUGUUUAAUUUCUUUUUGAUACUGCUUAUUGUUGAUUCAUUAUAAUAUUUUCAUAUUGUCUCAUCUCAGUGAGGACUG